rnacentral:rRNA from 1 species
GGACGAACGCUGGCGGCGUGCCUAACACAUGCAAGUCGAACGAAGCAUUUAAGUGAAUCCCUUCGGGGUGAAGCUUUUAUGACUUAGUGGCGGACGGGUGAGUAACACGUGGGUUACCUACCUCUAAGACGGGGACAACAGUUGGAAACGAUUGCUAAUACCGGAUGUGCUCUACGGAGUAAAGGAGCCUUUAAAGCUUCGCUUAGAGAUGGGCCUGCGGUGCACUAGCUAGUUGGUGGGGUAAUGGCCUACCAAGGCGACGAUGCAUAGCCGAACUGAGAGGUUAAUCGGCCACACUGGGACUGAGAUACGGCCCAGACUCCUACGGGAGGCAGCAGUCGGGAAUAUUGCGCAAUGGAGGAAACUCUGACGCAGUGACGCCGCGUGCAGGAAGAAGGUUUUCGGAUUGUAAACUGCUUUAGACAGGGAAGAAACAAGACAGUACCUGUAGAAUAAGCUCCGGCUAACUACGUG